AUCACCGAUCAAUUAGACGAC
rnacentral:siRNA from 1 species